CACACAAAGAGCUCCAUGGCACCCCUUGAACACUGCCCUGGUUUCUCUGCUCCUGACAACUCUCCUUGUUUCCUCUUUAGCUCCUUUUCCUCAGGACUCUCUCACCUCUGGCUCUGUUUUGGCAGCGCUUUCCUGCUGCUGAGGGACAGCUGAUGAACCACGAGCAGCUCUGGGCUGCCAGGGCUGUGCUUCCUGCACUGGUUUGUGCAGAGCUCUUCUGACCCUGUGAUUUGAGUUGAGGGCCGGUCAAGCUCUUCUGUGAAUACUGGUUGAUUUUAAACAGUGAGGCUUGUUUUCAAAGAAGGUAAACCUUGAACUGAUUUUUCAAGUCAGUAUUUUUUAGAAGUUUGUUGUAUCUGCUCAAGUACAAGGGACUAAUUUUCCAGGGCAGUACAGAUUAACCAGCAGUGGUUCUUUCCUACUGGUUUUGGAUAAUGAGCAAUGAUUCCCUUUGCAAUCACUGGUGUGCCCAAUACCUCAUGGGGCAGCAGUGCAAUGGCAGGUUUGGAUGAUUUGCUACAACCAAAGGGCUCCUUUUGUGGUUCCCAGUCCUCAGUAAUUAUGAUUUCAAUCACUGUAUUUUAAUUUUUUUUCUUUUUGUAGAAAAACACAUCAGUUACAAAAUCACAUACAGUACAGGGAUGUUGGGUGAUGGUUUUAUCCAGGUUUUGCUCUCCACUUCCACAGUCUUGAACACUGCCCUGGAGUACAUGACUCCAUCCCCAGGGUUCACCACUUUACCUCGCUCCUUGGGCUCCCACCACCUCCUGAUCCAGCGCAGGCAGAGGGACAAGGCACUUUUUGGAAGCUUGGUUUCUUCAAAGAGAGAGAAUUCAGCUCUUUGAUCCCACUUUUCCCUGCUAAAGAAAGGCUGUGGCUUCUGAAUUCAAGACUUGAACAAAGUCUGCAGGAGUCCUGAGAACUCAAGGAGAGAAAAGGUCACCACAAACCUGAAAGAACUGGAGCUGUUUCUCUAAACUCCAGAAGAAGGGGUGUUUCAGCACACAGCUGGCAGACGGCCGUUUCUGAGGGUCCAUGUUUAUCAUCUGCUCAAUUAAAUCACGAGCAACUAUGUCUUCUGCAAGGAAAAGGGUGCAGGGAAAUUUAUGGGCCUCCAGGCUGUACGCUCCCAGCAGGAUGUUGGCUUGCCGCUGCAGGGACUUGCCAAAGGGGUGGCCACCUUCUGACACCACGUAAUAGAAGACACAGCCAGCUGAGAAGAUGUCCACGGUGUAGGUCUGCAAAGAAACAACCUUUAAGAGCAAAGACAUAUUUUUUCCCCCCUGAAGACUCUGAUCAUCACAGGGUGGUUAUUUUGCAUCUCGGAGCAGAAGGAAAUUUCCAGAAUGGCACACUGAGCUGCAAGGGAGCCUGAAGGCCCAGGCACCAAGCCCUGUGCAUUGCACGGUCUGGGCUGCUCCUGGGGAAGGGUGAGGACUUACAGGGUUCUCUUUGCAGUCCUCACUCAGCAUCUCCGGGGCGAUCCAGCCCUCGGUGCCCGGCACACCCGAGCGGCGGCUGAAGCUGUGCCGACCCACCGCCAGCUUCUUGCACAGCCCGAAGUCUGAAAUCAUGGCCUUGACCUUCCCGUGGGCAUUGGGCAUUGAGAUCAGGAUGUUGUGGGGCUUCAGGUCUCUGUGGACUGUUACAAACACCCUUUUACCACUCAAGCACUCCCACUGAUAUUUGCACCUAUUUCAGUGAACCUUGCCCAGGCUGAACUACCACUUGCUAAACUAAAGUGCUGACUUCAAAGGAUUGUCAUCACUUUGUUAUUCCAUCACCACUACUCCUCAUGUUCUAUAUGACUUCUAUACAAAAAAUGCAGCACCCUGCACUAACAGUGAGGACUAGCUUUAGUACUCCAGGGCAGCAGAAUGUUACAGGGACAAGGCUGGCGGCAAAUCACAGAAUGGUUUGGGUUUCAAGGGACCUUUAAAGAGCAUCUCAUUCCAACCCCCCUGCCAUGGGCAGGGCCACGUUCCACGAGGCCAGGUGGGCAGACCAGAACCAGAGCAGUUUCUCUUCUUU